ACUGGACGAUCCACCGCAAGCGCUGUAUAGGCGGGGCUUGCAAACCACCUAAAGGUUCUAUGGUAAAGAGCCAUGGUACUGAGCGUUUAGGAAAAGGUAAACCAUGAGUUUAUCAGGU
rnacentral:ncRNA from 1 species